rnacentral:rRNA from 1 species
UGGAGGGUUUGAUCCUGGCCCAGAGUGAACGCUGGCGGCGUGUCUUAGGCAUGCAAGUCGAGCGGUCUAGGAGGUGGGGUAACUCACCUUCUAGAUAGCGGCGCACGGGUGAGUAAUGCAUGGAUAACAUUCCCUUAGGUGUGGGAUAGCCUUGGGAAACUGGGGGUAAUCCCGCAUAAUAUCUCUGAACUGUGGUUUAGGGAUUAAAGGCUUUUGUCGCCUAAGGAUUGGUCCAUGUCCUAUCAGCUAGUUGGUGGGGUAAUGGCCUACCAAGGCUAUGACGGGUAGCCGACCUGAGAGGGUGGCCGGCCACACGGGCACUGAGACACGGGCCCGACUCCUACGGGAGGCAGCAGCCGAGGAUCUUGGGCAAUGGGGGAAACCCUGACCCAGCGACGCCGCGUGCGGGAUGAAGCCCUACGGGGUGUAAACCGCUUUUGUGAGGGAAGAUGAUGACGGUACCUCACGAAUAAGCCCCGGCUAAUCACGUGCCAGCAGCCGCGGUGAGACGUGAGGGGCGAGCGUUACUCGGAAUUACUGGGCGUAAAGGACACGCAGGUGGCUGUGUAAGUCAAGUGUUAAAGACUGAGGCUUAACCUCAGGAAUGCGCUUGAUACUGCAUAGCUUGGUGCUAGGGGAGGGAGAUGGAAUGCCCGGUGUAAGGGUAAAAUCUGUAGAUAUCGGGUAGAACGCCAAAGGCGAAGGCAGUCUUCUAUCCUAGUCACGACACUCAGGUGUGAAAGCUGGGGGAGCAAACAGGAUUAGAUACCCUGGUAGUCCCAGCCGUAAACGAUGCGAACUUGAUAUCGGGUUGAGUUUUGCUCAGCUCGGUGUCGUAGCUAACGCGUUAAGUUCGCCGCCUGGGGAUUACGGCCGCAAGGUUAAAACUCAAAGGAAUUGGCGGGGGCCCGCACAAGCGGUGGAGCAUGUGGUUUAAUUCGAUGCUAACCGAAGAACCUUACCAGGGCUUGACAUGUACCGGAAGGCUACUAGAAAUAGUAGUCGCCUCUUCGGAGGCUGGUACACAGGUGCUGCAUGGCUGUCGUCAGCUCGUGCCGUGAGGUGUGGGGUUAAGUCCCUAAACGAGCGCAACCCCUAUCCCUAGUUGCCAUCGGUUUGGCCGGGCACUCUAGGGAAACUGCCAGCGAUAAGCUGGAGGAAGGAGGGGAUGACGUCAAGUCAGUAUGGCCCUUAUGUCCUGGGCUACACACAUGCUACAAUGGGUGGUACAAUGAGUUUUGCCACUCCGCGAGGAGGAGCCAAUCUCUUAAAACCACCCCCAGUGCAGAUUGCAGUCUGCAAUUCGACUGCAUGAAGCCGGAAUCGCUAGUAAUCGCGGAUCAGCAAUGCCGCGGUGAAUACGUUCUCGGGCCUUGCACACACCGCCCGUCACACCAGCCGAGUCGGUUCAGCCUGAAGACGCUUGAGGGUGUUUAAGGUUGAACUGGUGAGGAGGGUGAAGUCGUAACAAGGUAGCCGUACGAGAACGUGCGGCUGGAUCACCUCCUUAAGG